rnacentral:rRNA from 1 species
GAUGAACGCUGGCGGCGUGCUUAACACAUGCAAGUCGAACGGUGAACGAGGGAGCUUGCUCCCUCCGGAUCAGUGGCGAACGGGUGAGUAACACGUGAGCAAUCUGCCCCAAACUCUGGGAUAAGCGCUGGAAACGGCGUCUAAUACCGGAUACGACGCGCGAAGGCAUCUUCUGCGCGUGGAAAGAAUUUCGGUUCGGGAUGAGCUCGCGGCCUAUCAGCUAGUUGGUGAGGUAACGGCUCACCAAGGCGACGACGGGUAGCCGGCCUGGGAGGGUGACCGGCCACACUGGGACUGAGACACGGCCCAGACUCCUACGGGAGGCAGCAGUGGGGAAUAUUGCACAAUGGGCGCAAGCCUGAUGCAGCAACGCCGCGUGAGGGACGACGGCCUUCGGGUUGUAAACCUCUUUUAGUAGGGAAGAAGCGAAAGUGACGGUACCUGCAGAAAAAGCACCGGCUAACUACGUGCCAGCCGCCGCAGUAAGAC